AUGCUCACUUUGGCAGUACAUAUACUAACACUGGAAGGAUACAGGGAAGAUUAGCAUGGCCCCUGCACUAGGAUGACACACAAAUUUAUGAAGCAUUCCGUAUUUUU
ensembl:snRNA U6 U6 spliceosomal RNA